UGUAAAACUAUAAUUAUUUGAAAAAAUCGCAACAAAGUACUAUUAGUUAAGCUUAACGAUAUAAAUUUCAGCUAAUAUCGUUCGUCGACCUGUCAUCCGCCAUUUUUGUUGUUUUCCUUAGCAAAGUGGCUAAGAACAUUGUCCACAGUUAUUAUCAAUUUACAAAGUGUAAACGAUUGAAAAUCUCAGGAAAGUAAUAAGAACUGGACGAUACAGAUUUCAUUUGCUAUAUUGCGAUGAGGAAGGGCCUGAUCACGAACAUCACUGCCACGUACGCUGUCACGUCACUUACACUUCACUUAAUCUUUUGUGUCUAUCAUCAUUGUCACGGACAGUUGCGUGUAAAAAUGAACUCCGUGAAAGUGUUCAUUGCCGUUUAUAAGAGACAUGUUGGUGGCAUAAUUUCGGCGUUUGAACGUUGUGCAGAAUGACAAAUUUUACCUCGAUGAUUAGUUUGCUGAAUCAAAAAUGAGGACAAAUACUUGGUUGCUCGGGAAUUAUGUAGUUGUUGAACAUAUAGGAAUGUAAUUUUACGCUAGAGAUAAAGCAUGACUAUUAUGUUUAAUAAUCGAAGUCUCGCAUACUCUUGUACUUAGCUCUACCUUACUCGUUGAAUAGUGAUAAAUAUUUAGAAUUUAUGACAAAAGGUUUGAUUUAAUUAUUUAAACAAAAUCUGGUCAGCAUUUUUGACGUAGAACUACGUCUUUCAUUAAGGGUGCCAAAUCAGA